UUUCCGUAGGUGAACCUGCGGAAGGAUCAUUAUUGGAUUUUAAAACUUCAGGCUGCUGCUGGCUCUCCUCGGAGGGCAUGUGCACGCUUGUUGUCCAUUAUUUCUCCCACUGUGCACAAAUUGUAGACCUUUCAGUAGGCCUAUGUUGUUCUUCACAAUCUCUGAAUGUAAUAGAAUGGUUUUGAAUCUUGGGAAAUACAAUACAACUUUCAGCAACGGAUCUCUUGGCUCUC
rnacentral:misc_RNA from 1 species